rnacentral:rRNA from 1 species
GAUGAACGCUGGCGGCGUGCCUAAUACAUGCAAGUCGAGCGGACGGACGAGGAGUUUGCUUCUCGGAUGUUAGCGGCGGACGGGUGAGUAACACGUGUAUAACCUACCUAUAAUACUGGGAUAACUUCGGGAAACCGGAGCUAAUAGGGGAGAAGAUUUUGAACCGCAUGGUUCAAAGGAGAAAGACGGUCUUGCGGGCACUUAUAGAUGGAUCUGCGCUGCAUGAGCUAGUUGGUAAGGUAACGGCUUACCAAGGCAACCAUGCAUAGCCGACGUGAGAGGGUGGUAGCCGGCAUGGGAACUGAGACAGCCUCCAUACUCCUACGAGACGCAGCAGUCGGCAAUGGGCCGCAAUGGGCGAAAGCAUGACAGAGCAACGCCAAGUGAGUUAUGGAGGUCUUCGGAUCGGAAAAACGGGUUAUGAGGGAAGAACCUAUGUGUCAGUUGAUGUGCAGAUAUUGACGGUAACUAAUAAGAAAGCACCGGCUAACUACGUG